GGGGAAUAUUGCACAAUGGAGGGAACUCUGAUGCAGCAACGCCGCGUGAGUGAAGAAGGUUUUCGGAUCGUAAAACUCUGUCAUUGGGGAAGAAUAAAUGACGGUACCCAAUGAGGAAGCCCCGGCUAACUACGUGCCAGCAGCCGCGGUAAUACGUAGGGGGCGAGCGUUGUCCGGAAUUACUGGGCGUAAAGGGUACGUAGGCGGCUAUAUAAGUCAGGUGUGAAAUACCAGUGCUUAACACUGGAAUUGCAUUUGAAACUGUGUAGCUUGAGUGCAGGAGAGGAAAGUGGAAUUCCUAGUGUAGCGGUGAAAUGCGUAGAGAUUAGGAGGAACACCAGUGGCGAAGGCGACUUUCUGGACUGUAACUGACGCUGAGGUACGAAAGCGUGGGUAGCGAAC
rnacentral:rRNA from 1 species